ensembl:lincRNA
AGCUGGCUUCACCUCUCAGUAGGAAGGAAGACACUUGUUUGGAAUAUUGCAGAAUGGUAGAUAUCACAUUUUAUCAAAGGACAGUAAUGCUUGAUCUUCUAUUUCCCACAGAACUCUGGAUCCAGUUAAGAGCAGGAGGGGGAAAGAAGCAGCAAUAUUUCAAAUGUCCAUACUCUAACCUGCAAAAGACACUGAGUAGGUGGAAGAAAACUGCAUUUUACUUCAGCGGCAAGAUAUCGAGCAGGAAUAGAGACACUGCUUGAAGAAACAGGAGAUAGCGGCCGUACCCCACAUCAUCAUAAAUAUCUCUGCAGUUGAUCUUUCUUCCUCUGCCCUGGUCUCCGCGGAGGCCGGGACAUCCCUCCGGCUGCAGCGAGGCAGUAGUCUCCCUCCCUCUGAAUCUCCG